AUACCAGCUGUGAGCCACUCCAUCAACUGUGCUUGUUUUUUAUUUUAAUAUUACCAUUACUUUUUGUCUCUUGUUGAUUUGUGAGCUGCUGGUGUCUUGAGAGUAUGGUACUGAAGGUCUUACUUGAAGUCUAGUUUCCUGUUGCCUUCAAAGUUUCCAGGACCUGAAAAUAACAACUGACUAUGUUCUAUGUGAGUCCCUUUAAAUAACUUACAUUAAUGUUACAUUACAUGUCAUUAUUUAACCUGAAUUCCAAUUGAGAUAAAAACGGUCUUUUAGAGACCUGUCUAAAUUUAGAACACACUAAAAUACAACCAAAAUACAAAACAAAUCUACUUUAAAACAACAAACAUAUUAGCCUCUAAAGAACAAAUGGAGAAAUGUCUCAUUCUUCUACAGCAACUCUUUAUUUACUAAAAGAAGUAUUUCUAAAUAUAGGAUUUAUAGGAAUAAAGGUUGUUUGGUGACUAUAGUGACUAAAACCUGGGCCCCACUACAGUGAAAAUGUUUCUGAAGGCAGAAUCUUUCUUUUCCAACAUCAACUGUAGUCUGUGUCUUUAAAAAACCCUUGCUGGUUUGUUCUCAAUGAACUCUGCUCAGAAAGGAUCAAAGGUCAAAUUACUUCACAGACAUUUAGUUGACUGGUGGAGGUGAACAAAUUUCAAUGGACGUGGAGUCAAAUGAAGCAAACCACAAAAGCAUCCUUUUCAUAUUUCCUCUGUGGCCUUGACAGUUGCUUUGCACAAACUGCAGAGAAUACUAAUUAGAGUUUUAUAUUUCAUUGCGAGAAGUCAGAGACGCCUCCUUGUGCGUUCAUUAGAGGAAAACUUUCAGCAGACUCCAAAAAUAUUUGAAACCUUUCUUUCUCUGCUUGUUUAUUAUGUUUCUUCCUCCUUUGUCUGACUCAAUUUCAUUUUCUGCCUCUGUCCAUGUGUUUAUGAACUACUGUCUAGAGCUUUGACGUCGGUGGAGCCAAUUCCAAAGGCCGGACCAAAAUGACCUCAGGAAAAAGGGCCAUGGAUGGAGCCUCUGGAAAAGUCUGCUUCAGCUGCUGCUGUUGACAGAAUCAGGUUUUCUCCUCCCACAGGGGAAAGGAAGUGUCAGGAUGGGGAAGAGACUAAGGAUGGUUGGAGGUCUCACAUUAAUAAUCCCAUUCAUACACACACUCACACACAUAUGCUCAUACACAAAUAUGCAAAUCACUAUUCAUAACCAAGUAUCUCCUUAUGUGCUGACAGGAGCUGAAGAGACACGGAAGAAAAGAAAAAUGGGUAUAACGUUGGACACAAAGCUGCGUGUUUGAAACAUCUCUCCAAAUAUUGUUCAAUGUACAAAAAUACAUUAAGAUAUUUUUGUAUGAUUUCCAGAGAGUUUGCCUAUAAAAUAUACUGUAUAUGAGAAUGGAGAAGUCAAUUUGCAUGUUGUUAUUUGCACAGACUGCAGGAAAGAGUUUUUGUUUUCACCAAAACACAUCAAGCUCUAAAUACCAUCUCUGCAACCAGGCAGGGUUUUUUUGGAAGCUUCAAAUUCAGGUCAGACGCCCGUCUUCCACUGGACAUAAUCAUCAAAUGAAUUGAGAGAGCCACAAUGUUUGGAGGACCAACAAAACGAAGUGGUGUGAUUUCUGAGUCCAGUAUUUUCUCCCAUCUGAUUGGAGAAAUCCUGACUAGACACACCCUGACCUGGUGAGUUUUUCCUGAAUUUGUAAACAUUUAGCCACAUGAACUGCUCCAGAUGUUCAGCCUUGUUGUCUUCAGGUCAUACUACAGAUUUCUGAAAAGAUUUUAAAAAAUGUAAAUAUAAAUUUAAAUGAGUGUUUUGGGUCAUCAUACUUUGUUGUUUAAUUCUCUCUUAUCUUUCAUUUUCUUGAAGACGUGUGAAGUGUAGUGUCCAUAUGGCUGAAAAUCAAAAUCAAUUAUCCUGUUUGCGAAACCUAACUACUGCUGAUUGAGUAAAAUGUCAAAAAACCUU